GGAUUGUAGCUCAGUGAUAGAAUGCUUGCCUAGCAUGUAUGAGGCACUGGGUUCGAUCCUCAGCACCG
rnacentral:tRNA from 1 species